UUCUGAAAGAAAAUCUGUAUAUCUACAGCAAGGCCCGAAAGUCCUGGCCCAAAAACUUGCAAGAUCUGACAUCUACAAAACAAAAUAGGAAAGUGGUCAGCUGAAUCGAUUUAAGCUUGAGCUACUCCUCCGAGCACAUCGAAUCUUUCCUAAAAAAUUCCCACCAUGCGAAGCUACCAUCCGAGGAAGUCAUCUGAAUCAACAUCUGGAACUCUUGAUUGGUGAAAUUUCGUUUAAAUCCAACAAUCUCCAUUUUAUAUUCGAGUUGUUUCAAAGCUGCAACUUCAAGACCGUUCAACACAGUAGUGGUUUGACGCUUGAAGUGAAAUGAUACUCAGGACACGAUAAUGAAGUCAGUUAACCUGAGUAAAUUAUGUAUGGAAGAAAAUGAUUCUGCUUUGAAGCAAGAAGUUCAAUGUAAUCAUUAAAUUUUGUUGCAUUUGAAGACAUCUUGGACUUCAAGAAAUUCCGGUAGAAGACAUUGGACAAUUUCUUAUUAUGGGAUAAAUAUCAAAUUUUGAAUUUUCUCUUGUUAUUUCGACAGAAUUGAUUAAGAGAUAUGAGAUUUUUUUUUUUUUCACCA